GACCAAUGCUGCGGGUGGAAGCUUAAUGUAGGAGGGAGAGCUAGCUUCCCCUUGUAAGUUCUCUGUCCACUGACAACAAACGUAAUUUAUGCACAGAAGUGACAUUAGGCAGUCAUGGACAGAGUUCGAGGGCUGCCAAUGUCACGUGUGCUGUGAGUGCAGCUAGCCCCCAGCACAUAACAGUAUUGUUGUAUGUGCAGUGUUUCAAGUAGAAAC